GACGAACGCUGGCGGCGGGCUUAACACAUGCAAGUCGAACGGCAAGGCACUGCUAGUUUGGUGUGCUCGAGGGGCGAUGGGGGGAGGAACAGGUGAGUAACCUGCUCUUGACUUUGGGAUAGGUUCAGGAAGGUGGACUUACUAUCAUACAGGAUCCCCCGUUGCAGUGAAAGGAGUGGAACUUUGCGGCUGGCGCGGAUGGACUCGCGGCUGAUCAGCUUGCUGGUUGGGUAGUGGCUGACCCAGGCUGUGACGGGUAGGCAGCCUGGGAGGGUGGACGGCCACAUUGGGCCUGCGAUACGGACCAGACUGCUACGGGAGGCAGAAGUGGGGAAUAUUGCACAAUGGGCGGAAGCCUGAUGAAGAGACGCCGCGUGUGGAAUGACGGCCUUUGGGUUGUAAAACGCUUCCGGCUGUGACGCAGCGGGAGUGACGGUAAUGAGUAAAGAAGCACCGGCUAACUUCGUG
rnacentral:rRNA from 1 species